UAAGUUGGAAAAAUAGGAUGAUCGAGCAGCAGUGAGGGCUGGGUCACUGUCUUCCACCACAAGACAGUGACCCAGCUACUCCUCAGUAUUGGGACUCAUCAGUAUUGGGGUUCUGGGGCCUCUCUGGUGGCAUUGAGAAGAGUGUGAGCACUGUUUGGUUUCUGCUGCUCUCUAUCAGCACAGGGGUGUUGUACAGCAUACUGGGUCUGCUACUGUUUGGUGGAGGGGUUCAUGCCAGUAUCCUUCUCCUGUAUGUGUAUGGCCACAGUGCACUCAUCGCAGGGGAGAUCUACGGAAAGGGCUUGCUCUCACUUCUGGACAUGUCCGAUGCCAGGGCAUCAGUGCUGGAUAAGAAGAUGCCUUUCAGGCUGCUGAGGAAUAUUGGUGUCCUGUAUGUCCCUGCAUCAAUAGAGGCGAGAAGGAAGACGGUCCACCCACCAAUCAUUCCAACACCAGGCUCCUGCCCAUAUCAAGCCUAUGCUCCAGUGUCCUCUACCUCCAACCUACAGGCUACCGAGACCACACCAAAGACAUUUGAAGGCUGGGCCCACUCCUACUAUACACAGGGGAGCCCUGUUCAGCUCUCAGGUUAUUACGGACACAACCAUGGGGGGCUUGAGGCCAAGUCACGGACAUGGUCACAAGCAUGGACACAGCUGCAGCCACGGUCAUGGACAUAGUCACAAACACAGCUUUGGCCAUGGACUCAGUCAUGGCAUGCAUCUGCCUCUCAAACCAGCAGUCACUGGGCUCCAGUGGCUCAACAUCCACAUUUUCAACAUUCCCACCUCAGUCCACUGUCUGUCUGUCAGUGUCCCCCAGAGUUUCACAGUAAACAUGCCGGAGUCACUAACAGAAUCUGUGAUGGUUCAUCCAGGAGCACCUGUGUCGUCACUGACAGAUUGAUGACUUCAAUCAGUAACACCAAAACUCGCUAUAGCUCGAUUGAAAUUCAAAGGCAAUGUUCUCAAAGAUUGGAAAUGACCUUUACAUUUCAAUGGCGCUAUUUUCAGCAAUCACAAUCCUUGUAAAAAAGUCAACUUAUGGUAUAACUAAUAACGUUUUUAAAAAAUGAUGUCAGUGUGGUUAUAAGCCACUAUAGCUCUGAACUUCGGCGAUACAGAUUUAAUCGAGCCCAUAGUUUUCAUUCAAUGUGUUUUCUGUCUCAUGUUAUACAUUGAGAUGUAAUAUGCUUGGACAAGUGGUUUGAGGCAGUACUUGAAGGUCCACCCUUUCUUCACGGAUGUUUUUGAUUUGAAUACACAAGCAGGCUCUGAAUGUUCAAGGUCAAAUCAAUGCAAGAAAGCAUUGAUUGUCAGUUGAUUGUAAGACCUCCUUUUGGCUUGUGUGUUUUGUACUUUGUGUUUUUUUACCCAUACAGUAGACAAAUCUCUUGGUACUCUUGAUUUAUACAACCUAGAUUAAAACAAAGUUUUUCAAAACCCUUAGUAAAUGGACCAACCAGACCCUCAAGACUGCCAUGGGCAAGUCCCUUGAUUGGUAUCAGGAAGGGUGGGAGAACAACCUGAAGGUAAUUCUCUUUGCACACAACAGCAGCAUCCAGGCUGAGUAUGGACAGGAGCCGCAGCUGUUGACUGAGGUAAACAAUGCAAUUGUAUAUACAAUUAUUGCAUGUACUGUAGUCUUUCAAAAUUGUGAUUGACUUAGUGUUUGUCUAUUGCUAUUUUUGCAUAACGUACUUUCAGAUCACUGAAACACCACCUGAUGUGGUGGAAGUUGUCGAACCAGAUCAGAACGCCUUUGAGUACUACCUUCAGGCACAGACUGAGAAGGACGUGUGGAGGUUUUUGACCAGGUGAGACAGAACAUGGACAAGGCGCAGGAGAAACAGAAGGAGAGCUACCGGAGUGUUUACGUCUCUGUCUCCUACCCUGUUCCCUUUAACUCUGCUCCUGUUCUCCAGGAGCUAGGGGUCCUGCCCAACACCCAGACGUGGAUCCACCUGAUGUUCUCCAUUACCAACCACCCUCCAACUUUUCAUUACAUCAUCUACAGCUACUGUUGUCAUGUUAUCAUUAUCUGCUAAGAAAGUUCUUGCUCUCUCAUACUGGCCCUCUUCACUUCCCUUUGGCCAAAGAAGACCUAAGACCCCAAUGCCAGACACUGCCCUGCGGCCGGUGCUGUCCUUCGGAUGAGACUGUGCACACAGAGGUCCUAUCUCUCUGUGGUCACUAAACAUCUCAUGGCACUUAUGACAUGAGUAGGGGUGUUGACCCUGCAUCUCCUGGCUAUAUUUCCAAGCCUGAUAACUACACGCUAUGUAAAUCCAACCCAUUAUCAUACGCUACCCUAGUAGGCUGUAUGGGAACCAAUAUAAUUAUUGGGUCUUUUUUAUUUUUUAAGAAUGG